CCCCAUUCCCCAUUCUCCCAUGGUGGCCACACCCCUCACUCCACAUCCGGCCCUCUUCGUCACCAACGCCGGCGCUCCCUGGUCUGGCCGCUGCUCACCUUCGUCACCACCGUCGGUGCUUCCUGGUCAGUUUGCGGCUCCCCUUCGCAGCAGCUGCCCUUCCUCCCCUUCAUGUGGAAUCGCUCGAGGAAGUGGCCGAGGUGGCCCUCGAGCUCGGCAUGCUCGCGCCAGCGCUAGGCGCCGGCGGAGGUGGACGUGGAGGUGUGGCACUCGCACGUGCCUGCUCUACCCUGCACCUUCUCCGAAUCCGUUCGCCGAAGUGCUCGAGAAGGCGCUUGAGGUCGGCAUGCUCGCCGGCGACGCCAGGCCCCUCCCUCCUCCUGAUGCCCUCUCCGUCGCCGCCUUGAGCCUCUCCACCCUCUCCCAUGCGGUCGUCAUGGUCCAGAUUGCUGCACCUUCUGGUUCUGAGUGGAUCCAAGAGUCAUCAUGAUACAAUAUCUUUUCAAAAGAUGAUAGAUUAUCUUCAUGAAAGAAAGGAAGUUGGAGAAUUAUCAUUGAAGAGGAAUUCAGUGUCAUGUGUUUCUCAAGAGCUAAAAUGGAACAAGAAGUGCAAAACUGGAAAUUCUUUUUGUAAUACUAUUAAGCUCGUCAUGGUGGUUACCAUGAAUGAGUGUCUGGUUUAAUCUCUAGAAAAUUUCCCGAGGGAGGAAAAGGAGGUGCUGAAAGGGGAUGGGAGCAACAAGUAUAAAUCGAAGAGUGUUCUGCGACAACUCAAGUCACCUUCGUAAAUUCUGGAAGCCAACUGUUUUGACACCAGGCCAAGGAGAUAGAGUGCAUUAUUUAGUCAGUUACAAAAAUGCAGUAGCCAAAAACACUAACCAUUUUCCACAUAAAAAACCAUUAAUUACCGUUCCCUCUCCAUUUGCCUGGUACAUUCUAGUUAAUUUAGCAUCUCACCAGUUAUCUGAAUAAUACAUAAGCAUCUAGUACAAGGGCAUUUUUACCUUGGUACAUGACAUCUCAUCAGUUAUCUGAAUAAUAAAUAAGCAUGCAGUACAAGGGCACUUUUACCUUGGGACAUGGCCAGGGGUGUAUGUGGUACAUUUUUCCUGUCAUUAAGAAGUGCUGUUGAAGCCUCUUUCUUCUCACGGGCUUCACGACGCCUUUUAAGAAUAUCAUCUUUAUUGCGUGCAUAAUACUCUUUUUUCCUCUGCCUCUUCAAUUCUUCAAGGUAUGUUAUAAAUACAUACCGCAACUUAGCACAUAAGCAACAGCAAAACAGUAGCGCAAAGUAGGAACUGGUUGAUGAUAGUUACCCAAUGUCUGGUUGUUGCUUAUAUCCUGAAAUGGGGUGCAUGCCCCCGCACUAUUGGGAGAUGCCAUACGUUCGCCUUCAUGUGAAUAUUCAUGCCAUUAAAUUUUGAGAAGCAUGGAAACUGUGGAAAUUAAUCAUGAACACCACCAUCAGAUGCAAACAUAGUACACUGUCCUUUCUCUUGAUAUUGUGUUUCAGCAGAGUUCUACUUUGACAUUAAAAUCAAUUUUGAAUGGCAGAUCCCCUUACUGGACCACAUUAAGUUGUUGGCCCUGCUAUUUAACAUCCAUGGUGAUGCUGAUGAUGAUCUUGGCAGGGGUAAUGCUUUGAUUUCAUAGACAUGUUGCUUUGAUAGCUAGAGAACUAAUUUCUCAAGAGGACUUGAUUUAGUGUUCUUAUAAUAUUUUUUAGCUGGCGCUGUUUUUUUUCAUGGAUUUUUCCUGUCCACUACAUCAUAAAUCUGGUAAUAUAAAAGUAAUAUCUAUUUUUGAUUAUGUAAUGACCGACUGUUAUCUUGCUUCUUACUCAUGUAUCUUCAGAAUUAUGUAUCUGCCUGGGGUCUUGGCAUGUCCUUGAGCACGCAUCAGGUAUGUAUGUAUCUGUUGGUAUCUUAGUGCACUUUGUAGUUUCAGAGUAGCACUCUAUAAUUUGGCACAUGCUGACAUGCCUAUGAGUGUAUAUGUAUGUGCAUGUGUACUGGCCAUAGGCCCGAGCUGAAACUUAUUAUGAUUAAUUUGCUCGUUCUGUGAUGUGCGAUUACAUUAAUACCAUUGGCACCUUUGUAAAUUCUAUAAGCUAAAUCCAAUAUUGUAGGUGUUCUGCGACAACUCAAGUCACCUUCGUAAAUUCAGAAAGCCAAGGAGACAGGGUGCAUGAUUCAGUUAGUUACAAAAUUGCAGUAGCCAAAACACUAACCAUGUUCCACAUAGAAAACCAUUAAUUACAGAUAUGAAAGGAACGGCUUAUAGCAUUAUGCUGUGCAACUGUUUGUUUUUUAGAACUCUAUUCUGAAAAUUCUAAUCCUGUAUAAUGUUGCAAUAGGUGAAAGGAAGAAGUUGAACCUGAAGAAGGGCAGGGAAGAAUUAUAGCUUUGUGUGGCCGGCUGGUUCAGGGGAAGUGCAGGGCGGGCGCGGCUCCACGGGUGCCGAGGCAGGCUCCUGGGCAGUGGCUAUCUCGCGGAUGGGCCACACUGCAAGGGCAGGUUCGUGGGCGCCCGCUAUCGCGCUGACGGAUUACAUGCUGUGAGCAGCAACAAUCGGCGGUGGCGAUCUUGCAGGGAGGCGACCGAGCGGUGCAGUGCGGUGAGGUAUCGAUGCGGGCAGGAGACGGGGUUGGUGGGAGGCACCCUGAUCAAGGGCGAGGGAAGCUAAUUUAGUUGAGUUUCCUUAUUAGUUUGCGAUCACAAUUGCGUGAUUGUAGGGGACGUGGGCUGGUACUUGGAAUAUUCCUCCGGUGGUGGAGUACGGUCAGUCAUAGGAAUUUGCUAAGUGCACACCGUAGAGGUAUUAGAUCAAUGAUGGCUGUUAGAUUAGGACAUGUGGGACUAACUGUGUGGUGUUGAUUGGUUCGUAUGUUUUGUGGUACUAAUUUUUGGGUGCACAUAAGAAAGUUCUUGUUUGAUUGUUUAAUA